CUUAGUUUCAACUGUCACAGACGUCAAUUCUUCGCUUAUUUACGAUCAAACUUUUGCCGAAACUUAAUUCAAUGACAAGGCCGCAGUGUAAUCAGUUGAUAUUUCCUAAUUUAUUUACAUCUUAGAUUAUUCAUUGGGAAAAGAUUAGACUUACAUAUAUAACCUUACAACUAUUUUAACAAAGACUUUUGUAAAACAAAGAGUCCCGGACCAGCCACCGGCUUCACUCUCUUUUCGCUUGGCUUCUUGCAACUCUUCGCUUAUCCUUGCCUCCAGAGCCUUGGCACCUACUCCUUGCUCCUGAAGAUUGAGUGAACGUUGGCUAUCCAAA